GAUGAACGCUAGCGGCAGGCCUAACACAUGCAAGCCGAGGGAGGAGCUUUCGGGCUUCGACCGGCGUACGGGUGCGUAACGCGUAUACAAUCUGCCUUUCACAUAGGGAUAGCCCGAAGAAAUUUGGAUUAAUACCUAAUGGUAUAUAGGAGUGGCAUCACAUUUAUAUUAAAGCUGAGGCGGUGAAAGAUGAGUAUGCGUUCUAUUAGCUAGUUGGAGAGGUAACGGCUCCCCAAGGCGACGAUAGAUAGGGGUUCUGAGAGGGAUAUCCCCCACACUGGUACUGAGAUACGGACCAGACUCCUACGGGAGGCAGCAGUGAGGAAUAUUGGACAAUGGUCGGAAGACUGAUCCAGCCAUGCCGCGUGCAGGAAGACGGCCUUAUGGGUUGUAAACUGCUUUUGCAGGGGAAGAAUAAGGACUACGAGUAGUUUGAUGACGGUACUCUGCGAAUAAGCAUCGGCUAACUCCGUG
rnacentral:rRNA from 1 species